GACGAACGCUGGCGGCGUGCUUAACACAUGCAAGUCGAACGUGAUUUUUGUGGAAAUUCUUUCGGGAAUGGAAAUGAAAUGAAAGUGGCGAACGGGUGAGUAACACGUGAGCAACCUACCUUACACAGGGGGAUAGCCGUUGGAAACGACGAUUAAUACCGCAUGAGACUACAGAAUCGCAUGAUAUAGGGGUCAAAGAUUUAUCGGUGUAAGAAGGGCUCGCGUCUGAUUAGCUAGUUGGAAGGGUAAAGGCCUACCAAGGCGACGAUCAGUAGCCGGUCUGAGAGGAUGAACGGCCACAUUGGAACUGAGACACGGUCCAAACUCCUACGGGAGGCAGCAGUGGGGAAUAUUGCACAAUGGGGGGAACCCUGAUGCAGCGACGCCGCGUGAGCGAAGAAGGUUUUCGAAUCGUAAAGCUCUGUCCUAUGAGAAGAUAAUGACGGUAUCAUAGGAGGAAGCCCCGGCUAAAUACGUG
rnacentral:rRNA from 1 species